AACGAACGCUGGCGGCAUGCCUAACACAUGCAAGUCGAACGAGACCUUCGGGUCUAGUGGCGCACGGGUGCGUAACGCGUGGGAACCUGCCCUUAGGUUCGGAAUAACUCCCCGAAAGGGGUGCUAAUACCGGAUAAUGUCUUCGGACCAAAGCUUUAUCGCCUUUGGAUGGGCCCGCGUUGGAUUAGCUAGUUGGUAGGGUAAAAGCCUACCAAGGCGAGGAUCCAUAGCUGGUCUGAGAGGAUGAUCAGCCACACUGGGACUGAGACACGGCCCAGACUCCUGCGGGAGGCAGCAGUGGGGAAUAUUGGACAAGGGGCGAAAGCCUGAUCCAGCAAUGCCGCGUGAGUGAUGAAGGCCUUAGGGUUGGAAAGCUCUUUUACCCGGGAUGAUAAUGACAGUACCGGGAGAAUAAGCUCCGGCUAACUCCGUG
rnacentral:rRNA from 1 species